UUGUCUUUGGUGUGUUAAUUUUUUCGGCAAAUGCUUCAACUCACAACGUUUCUCUUGCCAUUGUUAUGUUUGAUGUUGUUAUUUAAUUCCUGGGGAAGAAAAUUUGGUAUGCGGUUGUGAUGUUUCUUUGUUUGAAAAUUUGCAGAGAACAGUCUUUGUGGGAGUUUCUCCAUGGCGGAAAGCUCUUUCAAGGAGGAAUAUCCACAGGAGAACAGUUGUAGUGGGAGUUUCACCUUGCGAAAAGGAUUUUGCCAGCUUCAAAUUUCUCCGGAUAGGAGCAAAGCAGAAGAGAAUAAUCAAGAUCCAAUACCAAUUGUGGAGAAUGCUGCAAGGAGACGUUCCUGACAUUGAAGAGAAGUUGCCAACUCCUUUUGUUCUUUACUUAUCUUGAUUUGUAUUGCUACAAUGGAACAUGAUUGUGUUUCCUUUCUAUUUAUGCUUUUCAUUUAAGUUUAGAAAUUCGUUAGAAAAAAGAAGGAAAAACUCAUUUUAUGCAUCCACGAGGCCCAUUCGAACUUUAGACCCUUGGAAUAGGAGAAAUGCCAAUGCGGUUAUGGAGAAGGCUGCGAUUUUGAUUGCAAGUACCAACACUCCUGCCAGGUACAAGGAGACAUGGAGGAAUAUUUUGAACAAAUACAAACAACGUAUUAUUUUAGAUGCUGGGCAACUGCGGGAGAAGCAUCCAAAUUGUAUACCAGUAAGAAUUUCACUGCCUUAAAUAUGUUUUACUUCCUAUGCAAUCAGUGGAUAUACUAUGUUCCAAUCUGAGCCCCCAUGAAGGUGACUGUGGACAAGGAUGCAAGGAGUGACAUUCAUGACAUUGACACUAAGAAGUUAGUUUCCAAUUCCGUUGUGCUUUAGUUUAUUUAUUUAUUUGUAUUGCUACAGUGGUAUGUGUAGGCUCGUUUCCCUUUCAUUUAUGCUUUUGAUAUAUGUUCCGAAAUCCGUCAGAAAAAAAAAAUUGAAAAUGCAGAUAUUAAGAAUCGCAUGCUGAAAAGAAAAAAACUCCGAAGUUCAUGUACUACAAAGGAAAACUCCCAAGUUCAUUUGUGUUAAUAGCUUUUCUCCAAUGAAGGGGUUCUCACAUAGUUUUAUUGCCUAUCUUGUUUUUCUGACUGCAGAUUCCUUGUCUAUGGUGAUAUGUCUCUUUGAGAAUUUGUUUUUUUUUAUUCAGUCAAUGGCAUGGGUCAGCACAGAAAAACAUAUAUUUUUCUAUUUCAGGAACACUAAACCUCCAAUUGGUGCCUUGGAUGUCUACAAUCAAUGAGGAAAAUAAGGAUGAAGAUGGAUUUCUUCACAUCACCUACAGUGGAGAAGAGAGUGUGUGGAUCCAAUGAGGAACAGCAAGAAUUCUCUUAAUAGAACUCAAGUCUGGGACCUCUGAGUCAAUAAUCUGACCUGCUUAGUAAUUAUCGUUUAUCUCGAUCAUUAGGUCAGUGGCCUUAUUUGUGGUGUUGUGCCGGAACUAUAGUUUUAUGACAUUCCAAGGAACUUUAAUGCAUUGAGUUUGAAAUAUUUAUAAUGAUUUGCCAGUUAGAAAUGAGUUUUUGUUGCCUUCUUCCUGAA